rnacentral:rRNA from 1 species
UACGGAGGGUGCAAGCGUUAUCCGGAUUUACUGGGUUUAAAGGGUGCGUAGGUGGGUCUGUAAGUCAGUGGUGAAAUCUCCGAGCUUAACUCGGAAACUGCCAUUGAUACUAUAGGUCUUGAAUUAUCUGAAGGUAAGCGGAAUAUGUCAUGUAGCGGUGAAAUGCUUAGAUAUGACAUAGAACACCAAUUGCGAAGGCAGCUUACUACGGAUCGAUUGACACUGAGGCACGAAAGCGUGGGGAUCAAACAGG